GUUGAUUCUGCCAGUAGUCAUAUGCUUGUCUCAAAGAUUAAGCCAUGCAUGUCUAAGUAUAAGCAAUCAUACUGUAAAACUGCGAAUGGCUCAUUAAAUCAGUUAUCGUUUAUUUUCAUUCAAAUUUCUGCCCUAUCAACUUUCGAUGGUAGGGUCUUGGCCUACCAUGGUUUCGACGGGUAACGGGGGAUUAGGGUUCGACUCCGGAGAGGGAGCCUGAGAAACGGCUACCACAUCCAAGGAAGGCAGCAGGCGCGCAAAUUACCCAAUUCCGACACGGAGAGGUAGUGACAAGAAAUAUUGAUGCGGGGCCCUUCGGGUCUUGUAAUCGGAAUGAGAACAAUUUAAAACACUUAACGAGGAACAAUUGGAGGGCAAGUCUGGUGCCAGCAGCCGCGGUAAUUCCAGCUCCAAUAGCGUAUAUUAAAAUUGUUGCAGUUAAAACGCUCGUAGUUGAACUUUGGAUCUGGCUGGCCGGUCCGCCUCACCGCGUGCACUGGUCCGGCCGGGUCUUUCCUCCUGGGGAUCCGCAUGCCCUUUACUGGGCGUGUUGGGGAACCAGGACUUUUACUUUGAAAAAAUUAGAGUGUUCAAAGCAGGCCUUUGCCCGGAUACAUUAGCAUGGAAUAAUAGAAUAGGACGUGCGGUUCUAUUUUGUUGGUUUCUAGAAUCGCCGUAAUGAUUAAUAGGGACGGUUGGGGGUUCUGGUAUUCAAUUGUCAGAGGUGAAAUUCUUGGAUUUAUUGAAGACCAACUGCUGCGAAAGCGUUAACCAAAGACGUUUUCAUUAAUCAGUGAACGAAAGUUAGGGGAUCGAAGACGAUCAGAUACCGUCGUAGUCUUAACCAUAAACUGUGCCAACUGGGGAUCGGACGAUGUUAUCAUCUUGACUCGUUCGGCACCCUACGAGAAAUCAAAGUGAGGUUCUGGGGGGAGUAUGGUCGCAAGGCUGAAACUUAAAGAAAUUGACGGAAGGGCACCACCAGGCGUGGAGCCUGCGGCUUAAUUUGACCCAACACGG
rnacentral:rRNA from 1 species